rnacentral:rRNA from 1 species
CAUAUCAAUAAGCGGAGGAAAAGAAACUAACAAGGAUUCCCCUAGUAACUGCGAGUGAAGCGGGAAGAGCUCAAAUUUAAAAUCUGGUAGUCUUUGGCUGCCCGAGUUGUAAUCUAGAGAAGCGUUAUCCGCGCUGGACCGUGUACAAGUCUCCUGGAAUGGAGCGUCAUAGAGGGUGAGAAUCCCGUCUUUGACACGGACUACCAGGGCUUUGUGAUACGCUCUCGAAGAGUCGAGUUGUUUGGGAAUGCAGCUCUAAAUGGGUGGUAAAUUCCAUCUAAAGCUAAAUAUUGGCGAGAGACCGAUAGCGAACAAGUACCGUGAGGGAAAGAUGAAAAGAACUUUGGAAAGAGAGUUAAACAGUACGUGAAAUUGUUGAAAGGGAAACGCUUGAAGUCAGUCACGUUGGCUAGGAAUCAGCCUUGCUUUUGCUUGGUGUAUUUCCUGGUUUUAACGGGUCAGCAUCAAUUUCGACCGAUGGAAAAAGGUCGGGGGAAUGUGGCAUCUUAGGAUGUGUUAUAGCCCCUGGUCGUAUACAUCGGUUGGGAUUGAGGAACUCAGCACGCCGCAAGGUCGGGUUAUCUAACCACGUUCGUGCUUAGGAUGCUGGCAUAAUGGCUUUAAUCGACCCGUCUUGAAACACGGACCAAGGAGUCUAACAUGCCUGCGAGUGUUUGGGUGGAAAACCCGAGCGCGUAAUGAAAGUGAAAGUUGAGAUCCCUGUCGUGGGGAGCAUCGACGCCCGGACCAGACCUUCUGUGACGGAUCCGCGGUAGAGCAUGUAUGUUGGGACCCGAAAGAUGGUGAACUAUGCCUGAAUAGGGUGAAGCCAGAGGAAACUCUGGUGGAGGCUCGUAGCGAUUCUGACGUGCAAAUCGAUCGUCAAAUUUGGGUAUAGGGGCGAAAGACU